rnacentral:rRNA from 1 species
UAGUCCACGCCGUAAACGAUGUCAACUAGCUGUUGGGAUUUAUCUUAGUAGCGAAGCUAACGCGAUAAGUUGACCGCCUGGGGAGUACGCGCGCAAGCGUAAAACUCAAAGGAAUUGACGGGGGCCCGCACAAGCGGUGGAGCAUGUGGUUUAAUUCGAUGCAACGCGAAGAACCUUACCAGGCCUUGACAUCCUGAGAACUUUCUAGAGAUAGAUUGGUGCCUUCGGGAAUUCAGUGACAGGUGCUGCAUGGCUGUCGUCAGCUCAUGCCGUGAGGUGUCAGGUUAAGUCCUAUAACGAGCGCAACCCUUGUCGUUAGUUGCCAGCAUGUAAAGAUGGGGACUCUAACGAGACUGCCGGUGCAAACCGAGAGGAAGGUGGGGAUGACGUCAAAUCAUCACGGCCCUUACGUCCUGGGCCACACACGUGCUACAAUGGUAUGGACAAUGAGCAGCCAUCUGGCAACAGAGAGCAAAUCUAUAAACCAUA